AUACGAACCGGACAAACGUUAUUCGGAAUUAUUGGGCUUAAAGGGUGCGUAGGCGGCGCGGUAAGUGAGGUGUGAAAGCCCACGGCUCAACCGUGGAAUUGCGCUUCAUACUGCCGUGCUAGAGGGAGCCAGAGGUAAGCGGAACUGAUGGUGGAGCGGUGAAAUGCGUUGAUAUUAUCAGGAACACCGGUGGCGAAAGCGGCUUACUGGGUCUCUUCUGACGCUGAGGCACGAAAGCUAGGGUAGCGAACGGAAUUAGAAACCCCAGUAGUCC
rnacentral:rRNA from 1 species